rnacentral:rRNA from 1 species
GGCCUUCGGGUUGUAAGCCCUUUCAGUUGGGACGAAGCUUCGUCGGUUAAUAGCCGGCCGGAGUGACGGUACCUUCAGAAGAAGCCCCGGCUAACUACGUGCCAGCAGCCGCGGUAAUACGUAGGGGGCAAGCGUUGUCCGGAAUCAUUGGGCGUAAAGCGCGUGUAGGCGGCUUGGUAAGUCUGCUGUGAAAGUCCAGGGCUCAACCCUGGAAAGCCGGUGGAAACUGUCAAGCUAGAGUACGGAAGAGGCGAGUGGAAUUCCUGGUGUAGCGGUGAAAUGCGCAGAUAUCAGGAGGAACACCAAUGGCGAAGGCAGCUCGCUGGGACGUUACUGACGCUGAGACGCGAAAGCGUGGGGAGCAAACAGGAUUAGAUACCCUGGUAGUCCAAGGG